AAAAACAUGUCCUUCUGAUUAUAAUUUAAGGUCUAAUCUGCUCAAUGAGAAUUUAAAUUGCCGCGGUAUUUUGACCGUGCAAAGGUAGCAUAAUAAUUAGUUUUUUUAUUGAAAGCUGGAAUGAAUGAUUGGACGAGAGAGAAGCUGUCUCUAUUAAAUUUAUUUUUAAACUUAACUUUUGAGUAAAAAGGCUCAAAUUUAAUUUAAAGACGAGAAGACCCUAUAGAGUUUAAUAUUUUAUUUAUUAAGGGGGUUUUGGACAUUAAUUUCUUUUAUUAGAUGAUUUAUUUAGUUGGGGUGACUAAAAGAUUAGAUUAACUCUUUUAAAAAUUUAAAUCAUUGAUUUAUGAUUUUAGAAUCUAGUUUUACUAAAUAUAAGAUAAAUUACCUUAGGGAUAACAGCGUAAUUUUUCUUUAGAGUUCUUAUUGUAAGAAAAGUUUGCGACCUCGAUGUUGGAUUAAAAUUAGUUUUUGGUGCAGAAGCUGAAAAAUUAGGUCUGUUCGACCUUUAAAUUUUUACAUGAUCUGA
rnacentral:rRNA from 1 species